UACGUAGGGGGCAAGCGUUGUCCGGAAUCAUUGGGCGUAAAGCGCGCGUAGGCGGCCCGGUAAGUCCGUUGUGAAAGUCAAAGGCUCAACCUUUGAACGCCGAUGGAUACUGCCGGGCUAGAGUCCGGAAGAGGCGAGUGGAAUUCCUGGUGUAGCGGUGGAAUGCGCAGAUAUCAGGAAGAACACCUAUGGCGAAGGCAGCUCUCUGGGACGGUACUGACGCUGAGACGCGAAAGCGUGGGGAGCGAACAGG
rnacentral:rRNA from 1 species